rnacentral:rRNA from 1 species
UACGAAGGUCCCGAGCGUUGUUCGGAAUCACUGGGCGUAAAGGGAGCGUAGGCGGCGCGGUAAGUCAGAUGUGAAAUCCCGGGGCUCAACCCCGGAACUGCAUCCGAUACUGCCGUGCUAGAGGAUUGGAGAGGUAGCUGGAAUUCUUGGUGUAGCAGUGAAAUGCGUAGAUAUUAGGAAGAACACCAGUGGCGAAGGCGCUCUACUGGGCCAUUACUGACGCUGAUGGACGAAAGCUAGGGGAGCGAAAGGG